AGGAUAAACGCUGGCGGCGUGCCUAACACAUGCAAGUCGAACGCCCUACGCAAGUAGGGAGUGGCGGACGGGUGAGGAACACGUGGGUUAUCUGCCUUUCGGUGAGGAAUACCAGCGAGAAAUCGCUGACAAUACCGCAUACGGUUCUUUCGAGAGAGAGAACGAAAGUCGCAAGACGCCGGGAGAUGAGCCCUGCGCCCGAUUAGUUAGUUGGCGGGGUAAUGGCCCACCAAGACGAUGAUCUGUA
rnacentral:rRNA from 1 species